rnacentral:rRNA from 1 species
UACGUAGGGUGCAAGCGUUGUCCGGAAUUAUUGGGCGUAAAGAGCUUGUAGGCGGUUUGGCGCGUCUGCUGUGAAAAUCCGGGGCUCAACCCCGGACUUGCAGUGGGUACGGGCAGACUAGAGUGUGGUAGGGGAGACUGGAAUUCCUGGUGUAGCGGUGAAAUGCGCAGAUAUCAGGAGGAACGCCGAUGGCGAAGGCGGGUCUCUGGGCCGAUACUGACGCUGAGGAGCGAAAGCGUGGGGAGCGAACAGG